rnacentral:rRNA from 1 species
UACGGAGGGUGCAAGCGUUGCUCGGAAUUAUAGGGCGUAAAGGGUAGGUAGGUGGUCUCAUUUGUCUGGGGUGAAAGCCUUGAGCUUAACUCGAGAAGUGCCCCAGAAACGGUGAGACUAGAGUCCUGGAGAGGGUCGUGGAAUUCCCGGUGUAGCGGUGAAAUGCGUAGAGAUCGGGAGGAACACCAGAGGCGAAGGCGGCGACCUGGACAGGCACUGACACUCAACUACGAAAGCGUGGGGAGCAAACAGG